rnacentral:rRNA from 1 species
CGCGCAGGUGGUUUCUUAAGUCUGAUGUGAAAGCCCACGGCUCAACCGUGGAGGGUCAUUGGAAACUGGGAGACUUGAGUGCAGAAGAGGAAAGUGGAAUUCCAUGUGUAGCGGUGAAAUGCGUAGAUAUGUGGAGGAACACCAGUGGCGAAGGCGACUUUCUGGACUGUAACUGACGCUGAGGCGCGAAAGCGUGGGGAGCAAACAGGAUUAGAUACCCUGGUAGUCCACGCCGUAAACGAUGAGUGCUAAGUGUUAGAGGGUUUCCGCCCUUUAGUGCUGAAGUUAACGCAUUAAGCACUCCGCCUGGGGAGUACGGCCGCAAGGCUGAAACUUAAAAAUUGACGG